rnacentral:miRNA from 1 species
AUGGCGAUGAUGUGCGGCCA